rnacentral:tRNA from 1 species
UAGGAUUAUAGUUUAAAUAAAAUAUUUAUAUUGCAAAUAAAAGAUAAAAAAAUUAGUCUG